rnacentral:sRNA from 1 species
GUUGAUUGGGAAACUCUUCAAAUCAUAAUGAAAUGCCGAGACUCGCUUUGCCUACCAAUGGCGGGCCCCACGUCAGAAAUGACGAGGUUUUCCUUCUCAGGGGAUUACAAAGGUUGGGAAGCACUCAAAUCCUGUCUAAUCGGAGUUUCAUCGCAUCCUUUGGUGUGGCACUUU